UUACAGCUAGUCCGAAAUUUAGCGAUGGACUUCCAGAGUCUGUUGAGAUCAGUGGUCAUCUUGGAAAACACAUCAAACUUAGGUGUAAAAUAGAAUCCAAUCCGGGAUCUUUUAUUAUCUGGUAUAAAGAAGAAGAAGAAAUCAAAUCUACAAAAAGGAUCCGCAUCUAUAAGAACUUCGUGUUGAUAAAGAAUUUCAGAGCCGAAGAUGCCAAAGAAUAUUUCUGCAAAGGCACAAAUCCUUUCGGGUACAUUGUCCGAAGAUUUUUUGUUUCUCUGUCUGAAAAUAAACUAAAAAAUGAUACAAAAGAAGAAUUGGACUUGAUGAAGAACCAACUAUCAAAAUUAACAAGAAAGUUUGAAGACUUUUCUAAUAAUAAUCUACACAUACAUAUAAACAAAGACAACGACGCCGAGGAUCAGUCAACAACAAUGAAAGGACAACAUAUUUUUCUGAAUUUAAUUUUGAAUGAGAAAGACUCACAUCAAGAUAAAUCUAUUG